GUUAAAACUGUGAAACCUAUUAAAAAGAAAUGUUUCUGCAGACAGAUGAUACACCAUAUUAAGAGGAAGAGCUGAGCUUCUACCUCACUGAAUUCCUGGGGAGAGCAGCCGAAGUGGUUCUGAAUAUGUGUCCCUGUAGGAAAAACCUGUAGCCUGGUGGUGAAAUUGUGCUGAUCAACUAUGGGAGCUCAAAGUUGUUCUCCUAAAAGCUGCCACUGCUGACAGGUUGAAAACCGAGG